UGAACCGUUAUAACCGGCGAUACCCGAAUGGGGAAACCCAGUGUGACUCGUCACACUAUCAUUAACUGAAUCCAUAGGUUAAUGAGGCGAACCGGGGGAACUGAAACAUCUAAGUACCCCGAGGAAAAGAAAUCAACCGAGAUUCCCCCAGUAGCGGCGAGCGAACGGGGAGGAGCCCAGAGCCUGAAUCAGCAUGUGUGUUAGUGGAAGCGUCUGGAAAGGCGCGCGAUACAGGGUGACAGCCCCGUACACAAAAGCGCAUGUGCUGUGAGCUCGAUGAGUAGGGCGGGACACGUGGUAUCCUGUCUGAAUAUGGGGGGACCAUCCUCCAAGGCUAAAUACUCCUGACUGACCGAUAGUGAACCAGUACCGUGAGGGAAAGGCGAAAAGAACCCCGGCGAGGGGAGUGAAAAAGAACCUGAAACCGUGUACGUACAAGCAGUGGGAGCACCCUUUGGGUGUGACUGCGUACCUUUUGUAUAAUGGGUCAGCGACUUAUAUUCUGUAGCAAGGUUAACCGAAUAGGGGAGCCGGAGGGAAACCGAGUCUUAACCGGGCGUUAAGUUGCAGGGUAUAGACCCGAAACCCGGUGAUCUAGCCAUGGGCAGGUUGAAGGUUGGGUAACACUAACUGGAGGACCGAACCGACUAAUGUUGAAAAAUUAGCGGAUGACCUGUGGCUGGGGGUGAAAGGCCAAUCAAACCGGGAGAUAGCUGGUUCUCCCCGAAAGCUAUUUAGGUAGCGCCUCGUGAAUUCAUCUCCGGGGGUAGAGCACUGUUUCGGCUAGGGGGCCAUCCCGGCUUACCAACCCGAUGCAAACUGCGAAUACCGGAGAAUGUUAUCACGGGAGACACACGGCGGGUGCUAACGUCCGUCGUGAAGAGGGAAACAACCCAGACCGCCAGCUAAGGUCCCAAAGUCAUGGUUAAGUGGGAAACGAUGUGGGAAGGCCCAGACAGCCAGGAUGUUGGCUUAGAAGCAGCCAUCAUUUAAAGAAAGCGUAAUAGCUCACUGGUCGAGUCGGCCUGCGCGGAAGAUGUAACGGGGCUAAACCAUGCACCGAAGCUGCGGCAGCGACACUGUGUGUUGUUGGGUA
rnacentral:rRNA from 2 species